rnacentral:rRNA from 1 species
UGAGACACGGCCCAGACUCCUACGGGAGGCAGCAGUGGGGAAUAUUGCACAAUGGGCGAAAGCCUGAUGCAGCGACGCCGCGUGAGGGAUGACGGCCUUCGGGUUGUAAACCUCUUUCAGCAGGGAAGAAGCGAAAGUGACGGUACCUGCAGAAGAAGCGCCGGCUAACUACGUGCCAGCAGCCGCGGUAAUACGUAGGGCGCAAGCGUUGUCCGGAAUUAUUGGGCGUAAAGAGCUCGUAGGCGGCUUGUCACGUCGGUUGUGAAAGCCCGGGGCUUAACCCCGGGUCUGCAGUCGAUACGGGCAGGCUAGAGUUCGGUAGGGGAGAUCGGAAUUCCUGGUGUAGCGGUGAAAUGCGCAGAUAUCAGGAGGAACACCGGUGGCGAAGGCGGAUCUCUGGGCCGAUACUGACGCUGAGGAGCGAAAGCGUGGGGAGCGAACAGGAUUAGAUACCCUGGUAGUCCACGCCGUAAACGGUGGGCACUAGGUGUGGGCAACAUUCCACGUUGUCCGUGCCGCAGCUAACGCAUUAAGUGCCCCGCCUGGGGAGUACGGCCGCAAGGCUAAAACUCAAAGGAAUUGACGGGGGCCCGCACAAGCGGCGGAGCAUGUGGCUUAAUUCGACGCAACGCGAAGAACCUUACCAAGGCUUGACAUACACCGGAAAGCUUCAGAGACGGGGCCCCCCUUGUGGUCGGUGUACAGGUGGUGCAUGGCUGUCGUCAGCUCGUGUCGUGAGAUGUUGGGUUAAGUCCCGCAACGAGCGCAACCCUUGUCCCGUGUUGCCAGCAAGCCCUUCGGGGUGUUGGGGACUCACGGGAGACCGCCGGGGUCAACUCGGAGGAAGGUGGGGACGACGUCAAGUCAUCAUGCCCCUUAUGUCUUGGGCUGCACACGUGCUACAAUGGCCGGUACAAUGAGCUGCGAUACCGCAAGGUGGAGCGAAUCUCAAAAAGCCGGUCUCAGUUCGGAUUGGGGUCUGCAACUCGACCCCAUGAAGUCGGAGUCGCUAGUAAUCGCAGAUCAGCAUUGCUGCGGUGAAUACGUUCCCGGGCCUUGUACACACCGCCCGUCACGUCACGAAAGU